AGCAAACUAGCCAUUAACUGGGUCUAUAUUUCUAAGAGAGAGAAAGGUCUGUAAUUUAUGAUCAAAGUCAAUGGCUCUAAACUGAGGUUCCUUGUAUUUUCUGGUCAUCUUGGCACCCAGAUAUCCAGGCAAAGGAAGACUCGUGAGAUGGAUGGGCUCCUUCAACGGGGGCAGUUUGUACGGAAGCUUCUGGCUCCAGUAUUUCUCUGGCAACCUGAGAACAUAAAGAUCAUCAGAUGGAUGCUCACAAAUACACUCACUGUGAAUACACAGGAACGUGGAUGCGUAAGAGACAACUAAGAGAUAAAGUUCACCAGGCUGAUUUUCUCCACUGGAGAGAACGUAAUAACAACGAUAGCAAACUUUGUUCUCAUCCUCCUGACUCCCAAGGAACCCUCGACACGGAUGCUGUGUUAUAUAGACAGAAGCCGUUCCAAGGGCACUUCCUCAACCGCUCACGGCAAGCAGGGCUGCACACACUUCCUCUUUCCGUGGGGAGCUUACCUCCCGUCAGAGCGGCC